UGACAGGCUUAACACAUGCAAGUCGAGGGGCAGCACAGGUAGCAAUACCGGGUGGCGACCGGCGCACGGGUGAGUAACGCGUAUGCAACUUACCUAUCAGAGGGGGAUAACCCGGCGAAAGUCGGACUAAUACCGCAUGAAGCAGGGGCCCCGCAUGGGGAUAUUUGCUAAAGAUUCGUCGCUGAUAGAUAGGCAUGCGUUCCAUUAGGCAGUUGGCGGGGUAACGGCCCACCAAACCGACGAUGGAUAGGGGUUCUGAGAGGAAGGUCCCCCACAUUGGUACUGAGACACGGACCAAACUCCUACGGGAGGCAGCAGUGAGGAAUAUUGGUCAAUGGCCGAGAGGCUGAACCAGCCAAGUCGCGUGAGGGAUGAAGGUUCUAUGGAUCGUAAACCUCUUUUAUAAGGGAAUAAAGUGCGGGACGUGUCCCGUUUUGUAUGUACCUUAUGAAUAAGGAUCGGCUAACUCCGUGCCAGCAGCCGCGGUAAUACGGAGGAUCCGAGCGUUAUCCGGAUUUAUUGGGUUUAAAGGGUGCGUAGGCGGCCUUUUAAGUCAGCGGUGAAAGUCUGUGGCUCAACCAUAGAAUUGCCGUUGAAACUGGGGGGCUUGAGUAUGUUUGAGGCAGGCGGAAUGCGUGGUGUAGCGGUGAAAUGCAUAGAUAUCACGCAGAACCCCGAUUGCGAAGGCAGCCUGCCAAGCCAUGACUGACGCUGAUGCACGAAAGCGUGGGGAUCAAACAGGAUUAGAUACCCUGGUAGUCCACGCAGUAAACGAUGAUCACUAGCUGUUUGCGAUACACUGUAAGCGGCACAGCGAAAGCGUUAAGUGAUCCACCUGGGGAGUACGCCGGCAACGGUGAAACUCAAAGGAAUUGACGGGGGCCCGCACAAGCGGAGGAACAUGUGGUUUAAUUCGAUGAUACGCGAGGAACCUUACCCGGGUUUGAACGCAUUCGGACCGAGGUGGAAACACCUUUUCUAGCAAUAGCCGUUUGCGAGGUGCUGCAUGGUUGUCGUCAGCUCGUGCCGUGAGGUGUCGGCUUAAGUGCCAUAACGAGCGCAACCCUUGCCACUAGUUACUAACAGGUGAUGCUGAGGACUCUGGUGGGACUGCCAGCGUAAGCUGCGAGGAAGGCGGGGAUGACGUCAAAUCAGCACGGCCCUUACAUCCGGGGCGACACACGUGUUACAAUGGCGUGGACAAAGGGAGGCCACCUGGCGACAGGGAGCGAAUCCCCAAACCACGUCUCAGUUCGGAUCGGAGUCUGCAACCCGACUCCGUGAAGCUGGAUUCGCUAGUAAUCGCGCAUCAGCCAUGGCGCGGUGAAUACGUUCCCGGGCCUUGUACACACCGCCCGUCAAGCCAUGGGAGCCGGGGGUACCUGAAGUCCGUAACCGCGAGGAUCGGCCUAGGGUAAAACUGGUGACUGGGGCUAA
rnacentral:rRNA from 1 species